CUACAUGCAGAUCUCCCGCUUUUUCCACAAAAAGACAAAAAUAUUGAACUGCAUGCAGAUCUCCCGCUUUUUGCACAAAAAGAAAAAAAUAUUGAAUUGCAUGCAGAUCUCCCGCUUAAACUGCUUUUGCAAACAUAAAAACGUGAAUAGUGAAUAUAUUGCGGGAGAACUACACGUACAAGAGAACAACACUUAUCCUGCCAUUCCAUUCAUAACCUAAAAAGUGGUCCAAGUAUACUUUUGAAAAUGUCACUCUCGUCAGAAAAAAAAAAGAUUUAUUAACUGAGUAUUAGUCAAGCGUCCUAUCAUACUUCUUAUGGCGUGUCCCACCAAAUUGAUUUCAUUGAGAAUCAAAAAGAAAAGUAAUUCUAAAGUAUAUACGGUCCAAUAUAUACACAUGCAA
rnacentral:lncRNA from 1 species